rnacentral:pre_miRNA from 1 species
UAUGUACUCCCUCCGUUCCGAAUUACUUGUCGCAUGUAUGGAUGUAUUUAGAUGUAUUUUAGUUCUAGAUACAUCCAUUUCUGUGACGAGUAAUUUGAAAUGAAUGGAGUACAUA